rnacentral:sRNA from 1 species
GCCGCUGCAAAUUCAGCGGCCGGGUGUGGUAACCCGUGGUGAUCGUAGGCGCACAGCGCCGUAAGGCGUUUUUUUU